rnacentral:rRNA from 1 species
GACGAACGCUGGCGGCGUGCUUAACACAUGCAAGUCGAACGGUAAGGCCCUUCGGGGUACACGAGUGGCGAACGGGUGAGUAACACGUGGGUGAUCUGCCCUGCACUUCGGGAUAAGCCUGGGAAACUGGGUCUAAUACCGGAUAGGACUCCUGGCUUCAUGGUUGGGGGUGGAACGCUUUUGCGGUGGGGGAUGGGCCCGCGGCCUAUCAGUUGGUUGGUGGGGUAAUGGACAACCAAGGCGCCGACGGGUGGCGGGCCUGGAGUGGGUGCCGGGUCACAUGGGGAGGGAGAUACGGCACAGACUCCUACGGGAGGCGGCAGGGGGGAAUAUUGCACAAGGGGGGCAAGCCUGAUGCGGCGACGCCGCGUGAGGGAUGAGGGCCUUCGGGUUGUAAACCUCUUCCAGCUAGGACGAAGCGCAAGUGACGGUAGUAGCAGAAGAAGGACCGGCCAACUACGUGCCAGCAGCCGCCGUAA